GUUGUGCUGGAGCAGAUUCCGGGAGAAGUUGUUUUCAAAGAUAAAACUCAGGAACUGCUGGAGAAAGGGUACUGGGCAAGUUACAACAUACCAUACUAUGAGGAAAUAUUCAAUGCAAGUGGCUGCAAUGAGCUGGUGGAGAAGUACGGCCCGUGGUUCUCUCUGGACCAGAAUCCUCGGGCUCAGAUCUUCAGAAGAAACCAGACAGCUGUCACAGAUGGG